UUUGUUCUCCCACUGUGACCUUCAGAUAAUUAUGAAGAUAUCCCAGUUACUUUCAGUCGUUAAGUUCUUGGCUGCAGCACUAUCCCAAUACCACCACCUCCUCUGCAGUCCCCAUCUGUUGCUUCCAGCUGGCAGUUUCAGCUGAACACCUGCUGGCCUCUCCAGCCCAUUCCGGACCACCCCCUUUCAGUGGUCCUAUCCUGGAACUUCUGGGUUGAGACUGCCCAUCUUUCUUUUUUUACUCACUGAACAAUGCAAGGUUAUCCUAAGUUGACAAAGUAUUUCUUUUCUUUUCCUUUUUUUUUUUUAACCCAUUUUCCAUUCUUGCAUCAGAUUGUGUGGUCCCGUUCCUGACCCGGCCUAAGGUCCCUGUCUUGCAGCUGGAUAGCGGCAACUACCUCUUCUCCACUAGUGCAAUCUGCCGAUAUUUUUUUUUGUUAUCUGGCUGGGAGCAAGAUGACCUCACUAACCAGUGGCUGGAAUGGGAAGCGACAGAGCUGCAGCCAGCUUUGUCUGCUGCCCUGUACUAUUUAGUGGUCCAAGGCAAGAAGGGGGAAGAUGUUCUUGGUUCAGUGCGGAGAGCCCUGACUCACAUUGACCACAGCUUGAGUCGUCAGAACUGUCCUUUCCUGGCUGGGGAGACAGAAUCUCUAGCCGACAUUGUUUUGUGGGGAGCCCUAUACCCAUUACUGCAAGAUCCCGCCUACCUCCCUGAGGAGCUGAG
rnacentral:lncRNA from 1 species